UACGUAGGGCGCAAGCGUUAUCCGGAAUUAUUGGGCGUAAAGAGCUCGUAGGCGGUUUGUCGCGUCUGCCGUGAAAGUCCGGGGCUCAACUCCGGAUCUGCGGUGGGUACGGGCAGACUAGAGUGAUGUAGGGGAGACUGGAAUUCCUGGUGUAGCGGUGAAAUGCGUAGAUAUCGGGAGGAACACCAGUGGCGAAGGCGACUAUCUGGGGUGCAACUGACGCUGAGGCGCGAAGGCUAGGGUAGCAAACAGG
rnacentral:rRNA from 1 species